GGCCAGGUACACCGGCACCAGCACCAGCAACCGCCGCCCGAACGAAGUCAGCACCGCCAAGGCCUCACCCGCGGCUCCUGGGCCAGCAGAUCAGACCCUCCUACUGAAGACAGUGUGUGGAGAACAAAAGCUCAUCCUCAGGAAGGUCUCUUCGCAACUGGCACCCAGCAACCACAGAAUCAGCAGCUGCAAUGCAGGCACCAGAACAAGUAAACAGGUGCUGGAACCUGUGCUGUGCAGAAAAGAGGACAAGACCAAGGAUGUCCCCCAAAUUCCCAUCAGAGGACACACGCCCCUCAG